rnacentral:lncRNA from 1 species
UGUACAUUACUACCAAUACAAUACCUAUAUAAUUAAUUAACUUAUAAACCUAUUUAAACCUUAUUCGCACAAAGCUCCAAACGGUAGUUUUGUUAGAAUAAACCCUUGCCCAAACGGUAUAUAUUAUCUAUUCGCCCAAACAGACAAUAAUUUGGGUCGAUUCGCCCAAACGGUCUACUCUCAUUUGCAUUCCUCUAUCCCCCUAGAACUUUUCAGUUUAAUGAAUGUAAGACAUAUGUGUUCAUAGCAACAUAUAAUAUUAAUUUUUUAUUCUUUCGUUUCUUCAUUCUUCAAAGAGAAUAAUAGUUAUCAAUUACACAUUUUUAGUUUCUAAGGUAGCAUUAUUGGUUUAACAAUAAUGUGUGUGAUUUUUGUCUCUGUUAUCACCUUUUGCCUUAAGGAAGAGGAAAAAUGCAACUAUCAACAUUGGGGAUGGUUUCUGAUUUGAAUUUUGAUAUAGUCGGGAAUCAAAAGUUCAAAAGUAAACUUUAAAAAACAAUCCAGAAAACGGGGGUGAUUUAAAAAUAACAAAUCAUCAGUUUUAUAAAAGAGUAUGUUUUAGAUGUACCUACACAAAGAGACAUGACGUACAUUUCAAAAUGUUUUUGGUCUUAUUGAACUGUUAAAACAUUUAUAAUCAUAUGAUUUAAAGUCAAAAACCUUAAAAAUGUAAUACUAGAUUCCACAUAAGUAUUGUUUCAUAGCAAUAAUACGCAUAAUCACAUUAUUUUUUAAAUAAGCGUUGAAAGUUCAAAUCUUACAACAUUUGUAAGUAGUGAAAAAAUGUAUAAAAUAUUUAAUUAAAAACCAUUGGGGUUUUAAAAUGUAAUACAAGAUACCACAUAAAUUAUUCUCCAGUAGUUACGUGUUUAACCUUCGAGCAUUCAACACAACAUAUAUAGUAUGUAUAUAGUAGGUAUAUAGUAUGUAUCACGAGUACCUACGCCUUUAUCAAGCGUCUGAUAGCAACAUCAUAACUUCUCAGCUUGACAGGUAAUAUGAUUUCUAAUUUACCUGAGAACUUACUAAAAAUUAGCGCUUAAGAUUAAAAGGUCACUCUUCCAAGUCCAAAACUCCGACUAAAACAGCAUUAUUACAAACUUAAAAAAAAAAUAAACCAAACACAACAAUGAAAAUGGAUGCAAAAAAGUAUCAACGACAAAUAAACUUAAAACUACUCGCAUGGAAAGCCGUAAUCUAAAAUUAAUAACUCUGAAAUUCCACAAAUAAACUUGACAUAAUUUAACGAAUAUUUAUUGAGCGCUAAACGUAGUAAUGUUCAUAAUAAUCCAACUAUAGCAAAUUAUGGUACAUCUGAAUGUUAUGCUAGAGUAUUGACGCUCCUAUAUAGAUAUACAAUGUCGAUCCGUAGAUUCUGCUGGAGUCGUCGUUCUUGUUAUAUUUUAAAGCGUAGUAGUCAAUGGUGAUUUAUGCACCCGUCGGUAGUUAAACAGACACUUAUGGAACAGAUUCUACUUUGUACGUCGUGGAAGGUUAUUGAUACUACUUAAUUAACAAUUGUUACUUCUGGUUAUAUUAUAAUGUAGUGAUCGUCUAAUUGUCUUAUUUCGUAUAUUGAUAUAUUUCGAAUAAUUAUUGAUUACUGAAUAUUAAUUACUAUAUUGUGUCAGAUAUUCAUUUUUAUAAAUUUAACUCCAGUGUAUCUACAUUUUAAUUAUGAUUGAGUGGUUACUACGUUGGUGUCAAUAAAAUAUUCGAGUGUACUUACUAUUACUACCACCACCAAGACAAUAUAACUUUACCAACACCAAUAGUAAAUACAAUGUACUACUGUUAGAGUAUAAAGUAGGUGCAUCAGUCGCCUAACCUCAAAAAGACUACUCAACGUAGUUUAACUAUAAGAACCAUACAUCGCUAAAUUAAUAACAAAAAAAAAAAAUGUCAUUUGUUAGUUCAUAUUAUAGUGGUGAAGAAGAAUCGAUGGUUGAAAGCAAUAACGGUUAUAAUAAUGAAAGGAUCAAUAACGAGGUUGAACCAGUAAAAAAACAGAACAAAUGUAAAAAAAACAAAAGAGAUGUAAAAUCGAAUAAGAAUAAAACGAUGACUAAAAAAGUAUGUAAAAUUAAACAUUUACAAUAUGAAAAAAGAGGAUGUCACUCUGCAGUACAGUAGGUUACAAACGGAUGGAAAGAAGCUGAGCGCAUUCUUAAAAUAUCGAUAGCUGAUAAGGCGGAGGACUUGGAGCUUCAGAAUGAGUUGUCAGAGAUUGUUCAAGCAAUAUUUACACGUUUUAUGUUCGAUCCUAAGAGGAAGAUAGUAAGAUAUUAAAAUUACUAAAGGCUUAAUAAUGUAUUUAUUUAUGAUGUUAAAAAUGUAAAUAUAUUAUAUAAAUUAAAAUUAUUUAGAU